AGUUAUCAUCAUCACCA
rnacentral:sRNA from 1 species